UAAUAAAUUAAAAUGUGUUUUAAAUUUCAAUUUACCAAAAGAUAUGGAAAAUUGUUAUAAAUUAAAAGAUAUAGGUUUUAUCUUAUUAAAAUUAGAUACUUUUUGUAGAGUAUCUAGCUGUUUUAAACAAGAAUGGAGUACGGCAGUACAUAACAAAUGGCAAACGGCACUACUAAAAAAAAUUGGUAUUCUAAAUGAGUUUAAUGGAAUCAAAUGGCUAACGGAUUCGUAUGUAACAACACAAUUUAAUGAAAUACUAAAACCUAUAACUAUGAUCAAUAAGCUUUUAAAAAGUUAUAAAAGUUGGACAUUUUUUAAUGGUAAUGAGAAAACACAAAUCAGCAACGGUUUAAACGGGAUAAAUGGCUUAAAUUCUAAUACUGUAAACCGUAACGAUCAGUUACAAAAUAAGUGGCAUGAUUCACAAGUGAUUAAACAGUUAUUACAAAGUGUAGGCUUAAAAAAUGAAUCUGAUUUAAACAAAUUUGUUGCAAAAAAUCACAUUUUAAAGCAUUUAUUACUAUCAACAACGAAUAAAGUAUCUAGUAUCUUUAAUUUUACCAACGAUGUUGAUAAUACAUAUACUAACUUUUUAAAAAACAGGUAUAUAAAUAAAAUGAACAUAGAAAAGCAACAGCAACAGCAACAGCAAUACCAACAACAACAACAACAACAACAACAGCGAUAUCUGCAACUGCCUAUGCUUGCUUCGACUAAUAUGCUCAUAAAGAAGAAAANNNNNNNNNNNNNNNNNNNNNNNNNNNNNNNNNNNNNNNNNNNNNNNNNNNNNNNNNNNNNNNNNNNNNNNNNNNNNNNNNNNNNNNNNNNNNNNNNNNNAGUUAGUACUGACCCAAAUGGAAUAACAAAUUAUAUGGACAACUUAGAAGUGGGGGAAAACCUAACAGUAGGGGGAAAUGUAGUAAACCAUCACUAUCAUCAUUAUGCUGAUAAUUAUAAUACUAAUGUUCUUAAUGGUAACGAACAGAAUGGUGAAGAAUAUAAAGAGAAUGUUAUGACUCAAGCGGGCGAAUACAUAUACAAUGAUAAUGGUGCCAGUUAUUAUAACAAUAACAAUAACAAUAACAGUUACAAUAACAAUAACAAUAAUAAUAGAAAUUAUUUAACACAUGGUGAAACAGAAAAUUGUUUAUUAGCAAGCGGAAAAGUGAACCCAGUUUAUUUUGAAAAUAUACAAAAUCAACAUCCACAAGAUGAUAGCGCACAGGGUAUAUACUACAAUAGGCAUAAUACGUAUGACAUAUGUAAUAGAUAUGACAUAUACAAUACAUAUGAUGUAUAUAAUACGUAUGGUUCAUAUAAUAAUUACGAUUUAUAUAAUGUACCUGAUCUACAUAUCCCAUAUAAUAACUAUUAUAGUCAACAUGAUUGUAUUUACAAUGUCAAUUCUAGCACUAGUAACAAUAAUAAUGAAAUUGUUAAAGACAAAAACGAAUAUAACAAUGCAGAACUUUCAACUAAUGCUCAAGCAGUGUUUGGAUAUAAUUCGGAAGAUGAUCACAUAUACAUAAACAAUGAUAUAGACUUUGAAACUUUUAAAAAGGCAUUACCAGCUAGUUACCAAAUUAAUAGCACACAAAACGAAACUUAUAAAUCGGAGUUAUCAGAUAAUUACCAAAUUAAUAACGAAAUCAACAUCUUUAAUACAACCGACAAAGAUAACUAUGUAACUAAUUUUAUAAAUAAGAAUAUGUAUAUUCGAAAUAAACAAAUGAAUAAAAUAAACAGAAUGGACAGGUGUUCUAAUGCAAAUAGAAAUGAUAUACUUAAAACAGAACAAUAUGAUAAUUCUUUUAUUCCUGUCAGUCAAAAGAUAAAUGAUCCAUUUGUUCGAAACUAUUUAAAUAAAAAUUAUAAAAAUAAAAUUAAUGCAAAAUUGGUAAAUAUCUUUAAUAAUUUUUAUAAUAAGAACAUACAUAGAAAUAAUAAAGAAGAUAUGUUGCUGUGCGAAAUACAGAUUGAAUCUAUUCCUUAUGAGCAUGAACUAGUAAGAGAAGAUUGUAACCGUAAUUGGACAAGUGUAUUAGAUACAUAUGUACAUAAUAUUUAUGACUUAAUGAGUAGUUAUAUCGAAUCGGUUGAUAAAAUUUGUUUAUUCAUUUAUCAUUCAACUGAUUUAGAAAAAAUAAAAAAAAAAUUACCAGGUAUGAAUUCACAAUUAUGGA
ensembl:lncRNA